rnacentral:rRNA from 1 species
GACGAACGCUGGCGGCGUGCUUAACACAUGCAAGUCGAACGGAAAGGCCCUGCUUUUGUGGGGUGCUCGAGUGGCGAACGGGUGCGUAACACGUGAGUAACCUGCCCUUGACUUUGGGAUAACUUCAGGAAACUGGGGCUAAUACCGGAUAGGAGCUCCUGCUGCAUGGUGGGGGUUGGAACGUUUCGGCGGUUGGGGAUGGACUGGCGGCUUAUCAGCUUGUUGGUGGGGUAGUGGCUUACCAAGGGUUUGACGGGUAGCCGGCCUGAGAGGGUGACCGGCGACAUUGGGACUGAGAUACGGACCAGACUCCUACGGGAGGCAGCAGUGGGGAAUAUUGCACAAUGGGCGGAAGCCUGAUGCAGCAACGCCGCGUGCGGGAUGACGGCCUUUGGGUUGUAAACCGCUUUCGCCUGUGACGAAGCGUGAGUGACGGUAAUGGGUAAAGAAGCACCGGCUAACUACGUG